AACGAACGCUGGCGGCGUGCCUAACACAUGCAAGUCGAGCGCGAAUGGAGCAAUCCUAGUGGCGCGGCGCACGGGUGCGUAACACGUGGAUAAUCUGCCUGGGAGACCGGAAUAACCUGCCGAAAGGCAAGCUAAUACCGGAUAAGCCCACGGGCUCUUUGGAGCCUGAGGGAAAAGGUGGCCUCUGUAUACAAGCUAUCCCUUUUAGAUGAGUCCGCGGCCCAUCAGCUAGUUGGCGGGGUAAUGGCCCACCAAGGCAACGACGGGUAGCUGGUCUGAGAGGACGAUCAGCCACACUGGGACUGAGACACGGCCCAGACUCCUACGGGAGGCAGCAGUGGGGAAUCUUGCGCAAUGCGCGAAAGCGUGACGCAGCAACGCCGCGUGCGGGAAGAAGGCCUUCGGGUUGUAAACCGCUUUCAGUUGGGACGAAGCUUCGCCGGUGAAUAGCCGGCUGGAGUGACGGUACCUUCACAAGAAGCCCCGGCUAACUCCGUGCCAGCAGCCGCAGUAACAC
rnacentral:rRNA from 1 species